rnacentral:rRNA from 1 species
CAGGCCUAACACAUGCAAGUCUAGGGGGCGUAGCAAUACGUCACCGGCGGACGGGUGCGUAACACGUGGGAAUGUACUUAUUGGUUCGGAACAACUCAGGGAAACUUGAGCUAAUACCGAAUGUGCCCAUAAGGGGAAAGAUUUAUCGCCAAUAAAUCAGCCCGCGUCCGAUUAGCUAGUUGGUGGGGUAAAGGCCCACCAAGGCGACGAUCGGUAGCUGUUCUGAGAGGAAGAUCAGCCACACUGGGACUGAGACACGGCCCAGACUCCUACGGGAGGCAGCAGUUGGGAAUCUUGGACAAUGGGGGAAACCCUGAUCCAGCCAUGCCGCGUGAGUGAUGAAGGCCUUCGGGUUGUAAAACUCUUUCGACGGGGACGAUAAUGACGGUACCCGUAGAAGAAGCUCCGGCUAACUUCGUGCCAGCAGCCGCGGUAAUACA